GGAAAAAGAUUUUCAAUAAACAAGACAGAACACACCACGAUGAGUAUUCAAAAGAUCCGCAGAGAUCGGAAUCAAUCAGCAGCUCCACAGGAGCUGAGUUUGGCUGAGAUGGGAAAAAAACUUUGUGAGGCAAAUAUGGUGGUGAAACGUCAUGAGGAGGAACUGAAUUCAGUCAAAGAGAGUUUGAUGGAGAUGAACACAUUUUACAAAUUGAGCCUCAGAAAAGCAAG